GGGCCCGCACAAGCGGUGGAGCAUGUGGUUUAAUUCGAUGAUACGCGAGGAACCUUACCAGGACUUAAAUGUAAGUUGCAUGAUUCAGAAAUGGAUCUUUCUUCGGACUACUUACAAGGUGCUGCAUGGUUGUCGUCAGCUCGUGCCGUGAGGUGUCAGGUUAAGUCCUAUAACGAGCGCAACCCCUAUCGUUAGUUGCCAUCAAGUAAAGUUGGGAACUCUAGCGAAACUGCCGGUGCAAACCGUGAGGAAGGUGGGGAUGACGUCAAAUCAUCACGGCCCUUACGUCCUGGGCCACACACGUGCUACAAUGGUCAGUACAGAAAGCAGCCACUAUGCGAAUCCCAUAA
rnacentral:rRNA from 1 species